CUUUAAUGGCUGGUGUUCUAACGUAGACCCGUGAACCGGGUUGCGGACAGUGUCUGGUGGGUAGUUUGACUGGGGCGGUCUCCUCCUAAAGCGUAACGGAGGAGCACGAAGGUUGGCUAAUCCUGGUCGGACAUCAGGAGGUUAGUGCAAUGGCAUAAGCCAGCUUGACUGCGAGCGUGACGGCGCGAGCAGGUGCGAAAGCAGGUCAUAGUGAUCCGGUGGUUCUGAAUGGAAGGGCCAUCGCUCAACGGAUAAAAGGUACUCCGGGGAUAACAGGCUGAUACCGCCCAAGAGUUCAUAUCGACGGCGGUGUUUGGCACCUCGAUGUCGGCUCAUCACAUCCUGGGGCUGAAGUAGGUCCCAAGGGUAUGGCUGUUCGCCAUUUAAAGUGGUACGCGAGCUGGGUUUAGAACGUCGUGAGACAGUUCGGUCCCUAUCUGCCGUGGGCGCUGGAGAACUGAGGGGGGCUGCUCCUAGUACGAGAGGACCGGAGUGGACGCAUCACUGGUGUUCGGGUUGUCAUGCCAAUGGCACUGCCCGGUAGCUAAAUGCGGAAGAGAUAAGUGCUGAAAGCAUCUAAGCACGAAACUUGCCCCGAG
rnacentral:rRNA from 1 species